CAGCAGGUACUGUUACAAUAUAACUGAAGUGUUAAUAUUGUCGUUCCCCCUGCUUAAAGCAAUUGAUUCAUAACUAUCUCUGUCUAACUUCAUUCCAUAGUAAGACAGGGACGCUUGGUCUCAAACAU
ensembl:snoRNA SNORA63 Small nucleolar RNA SNORA63